AAAAAAAAGCAUGUGGGCUCUUCCCUGUUCUGACUUCAACGUGGAACACCCUUCAGUGUGUUUGAACACUUAACAGCACUAACACAAAUCCAGCAGGCUUGGUUUACUGGAAGCAUCAAGAGGGGCACUCAGGAGUAAACAAUACUGGCUGGGGCUGAGUUCUCUGUCCCAAGCUGGCUUGCCUGCUGCUAGGGGCUGGGAGUGCUUGUCUCUCUCUCUCUCCUCUGUCAGAUCUUCCCACAGGCUGAGACUCGACCUCUACACCCAAACACACGCGCAUAGACACACACAGACAGACAGACAAACACACAGAUGCACACACAGACAUAGUUCCCCCCUCCGUCCCCCCCCCCACCUGCUCCCUGACUUCCCACAGCUCUGUGCUACCUGUUGUCUUUACAAACAGGUGACAAGCAGGGCUGAGCUGAACAGUUUGUUACUGUGGCUGAGCCUUUGCCUCCCUUAGGGCAACGCUGCUUGUGAAGAACUUGUUACUUAAGUAACGGAAUCUGUGCUCCGACUUUAGGAGUUCUGUUGGCCCUGAGAGGAAAGGCAGGGCCAACAGGAAGUGGGUAUCCUUUGUCCUUUAGACACAGAGAUUGAAAGAGAAGAUGGUUACAGUCCGCACUCCACUCGGGAGGGAAGUCAGACUUCUCUUGUGAGUUCAAAGGCGUCCCUGAGAAGAGCUGGAGUGGCCUUUAAAGUGAAAAGCUUAGGUGAUUUAAAUGAGCAAGCCUUCACAGACUCGGAGAAGGUAAGCAACAGGUGUGGCCAGCACCGUGAAGAAGCGACGACCAGAGAGGGCAAACGGUGUCUGACGAUGUCAUCUGUCUGAAAAAUCGCGUGUAGCUGCAGACCCAGGAACCGCGUGGCUGGAGCUGUCCGAGGUCAUCACUAUCAGGAGGUUGGGUGCCAUCUUGGAGACUGGUUACCACACUGACAACAGAACGUUGCAGAAGGUUGUUCCUGGCUGUAUCACUGAGCCACAUCCCCAGGGUCCAGGUCUCGAACUCAGAUCACUGGGCUUAGCGGCAAGCUCUUUGGUGCCAUAUCAUAGCCCCUCAUCAACUUUCCAUGAGGUAUCACUGACUACAUGAACCUGUACGGCCUGAAUCUUGUUGGUGGGAACAAGAAGACAUGGGAAGGACGCCCUGGUUUGCCUUCCUGUUACUACAAUAAACAUCUUGACCAGAAGAAGUAACUUGGGGACGAAAGGAUACAUUUGGUUUACACAUUUCCGUCAGAGACCAUCGCUGAGGAAAGUCAAGGCAGGAACCACAGGGAAGGCUGCUCACUGAUGUGUUCUUUUGGCAUCUGUUCUCUGGUAGCUUUCUCAUACAGCCCAUGACUACCUGUCCAGGGAUGGCUCUGUCCACGGUGGCCUGGCCCCAACCAUAUCAGUCACCAGUCAAGACAAUGCCUUACAGACACAGGCACAGGCAAUCCCCCCAUCGGGCUUCCUCACUGACUUUGAGCUGUGCCAAGCUCACAGGGGAAGCAAAGCAGGACUGGGGCCUGGGAGGAUGGCACGACUGUCAGAAUACUUGCUGUUUCUGUGUGGAAACCUUAGCUCCAGUGCCCAGCAUACCCCAGAAAAGCUUCCUUGCUGCAAACCUAGCUCGGGAGAGCCUGUGUCAAGGGAAUCCAGGUUCAGUGGGAGACCCUGUCUCAGGGA
rnacentral:sRNA from 1 species